UAGUAAUUAAAAAAAAAAAAAAACAAAACCCUAGCUUUCCAUUUCUCUUCAACGCAUUAUAAAUACCGCAAUAAUAAACCUGACUCUCUAGCCGUUUGUGGCAAUUAGGGUUUAGUACAAAUCCCUCAUUGUUCUCUCCGCCGUCUCUUCCACUCUCUUUAGCUAGCUAUUGUACCUCGCCCUCCUCAGGUGAUGAUAAAAUAGACAGGGACAUCAGCUACUCCUUUUUUAGGGAGGAUGAUGACCAAGUCUAAAAUGGGAAUCUCUCUGAUGCAUUUUUCAUAGAUUAAAAGCUGUGAAUUUAGUGUUUCUUUUUUUGUGUAUAUAUAAUUGAAUUGGGUUUUGUGCAAAUGAUGAUAAAACAGACAGGGACAUCAGCUACUCCAAUUAAAAUUGGAGAAUGUUGACUAUGUCUAAAUGGGAAUCUCUCUGAUGCAAAAAUCAGUUUUUUGGCUAAUUAUUGUUUGAUUUUAGUGUUGGAGAAAUGCUAUAGACAGCGGUGGCUAUCUA